rnacentral:lncRNA from 1 species
UGAAGGGGAGUUUUCCGGUGGGGUUUAAUGGGGUUUGGUCGCCGGAGCCUUGGGGACCCUGUGGUGGUGUUGGUUUUUGCACAACACCAACAAAAAAGUGAUUUUUGUUACGGACAUCCUCUUAAAUCGCCGAAAAAUUGCACGACUACGAGGUCUUUCUCCCCGGAAGUUGCUGGAAUGGCGCACAACUAUAUGUCACUGUUGCUCUGAUACCAAUGCAGCUUUUCAUUCUGUCCUAUGCGCCGAGGGUCGCUUGGAAGCAGCCUCUCUGCCCUUUUGGGUAGGGGUAAGGCUGUCUACAUAUUACCUUCCCCAGACCCCACCUGGUGGGAGUAUACUGGGUAGUUGUUGUUGUUGUUGCUCUGAUACCAUGUGAGAAUGCACGGGAGAAAAAUAUUAUUGAUAUAGGAAUGGAGUGGGCAUCUUGAUAGAUAGGGAUAUAAGGGAGUUCGUGGUCGAGGUUAGGCGAAUGAAUGAUAGGUUAAUGUCUAUU